rnacentral:rRNA from 1 species
UGAGGAAUAUUGCGCAAUGGGGGAAACCCUGACGCAGCAACGCCGCGUGAGUGAGGAAGGUUUUCGGAUUGUAAAGCUCUGUCGAGCGGAAAGAAGUGCAUGGUGGCUAAUAUCCAUCAUGCUUGACGGUACCGCUAAAGGAAGCACCGGCUAACUCCGUGCCAGCAGCCGCGGUAAUACGGGGGGUGCAAGCGUUGUUCGGAAUUAUUGGGCGUAAAGAGCGUGUAGGCGGCUUGACAAGUCAGAUGUGAAAUCCCUGGGCUUAACCCAGGAAGUGCAUUUGAAACUGUCAGGCUUGAGUAAGGGAGAGGAAAGUGGAAUUCCUGGUGUAGAGGUGAAAUUCGUAGAUAUCAGGAGGAACACCGGUGGCGAAGGCGACUUUCUGGCCCUAUACUGACGCUGAGACGCGAAAGCGUGGGUAGCAAACAGG